UCUUCCACAAUGGACGCAAGUCUGAUGGAGCAACGCCGCGUGAGUGAAGAAGGGUUUCGGCUNGUAAAGCUCUGUUGUUAAAGAANNCCNNNGNUAAGAGUAACUGUUUACCCAGUGACGGUAUUUAACCNNNANGNCACGGCUAACUACGUGCCAGCAGCCGCGGUAAUACGUAGGUGGCAAGCGUUAUCCGGAUUUAUUGGGCGUAAAGCGAGCGCAGGCGGUCUUUUAAGUCUAAUGUGAAAGCCUUCGGCUCAACCGAAGAAGUGCAUUGGAAACUGGGCGACUUGAGUGCAGAAGAGGACAGUGGAACUCCAUGUGUAGCGGUGAAAUGCGUAGAUAUAUGGAAGAACACCAGUGGCGAAGGCGGCUGUCUGGUCUGCAACUGACGCUGAGGCUCGAAAGCAUGGGUAGCGAACAG
rnacentral:rRNA from 1 species